CCUACGGGUGGCAGCAGUGGGGAAUAUUGGGCAAUGGGCGCAAGCCUGACCCAGCAACGCCGCGUGAAGGAAGAAGGCUUUCGGGUUGUAAACUUCUUUUGUCAGGGACGUAGCAAGUGACGGUACCUGACGAAUAAGCCACGGCUAACUACGUGCCAGCACCCGCGGUAAUACGUAGGUGGCAAGCGUUAUCCGGAUUUACUGGGUGUAAAGGGCGUGUAGGCGGGGAAGCAAGUCAGAUGUGAAAACCACGGCCUCAACCUGUGGUCUGCAUUUGGAACUGUAUUUCUUGUGUGCGGGAAGGGCAAUCGGAAUGCCGGGUGUAGCGGUGAAAGGCGUAGAUAUACGGAGGAACACCAGUGGCGAAGGCGGAUUGCAGGACAGUAACGGACGCGGAGGCGCGAAAGCGUGGGGAGCAAACAGGAUUAGAUACCCCGGUAGU
rnacentral:rRNA from 1 species